rnacentral:tRNA from 1 species
GGAGGAAUGUCCCGAGCGGCAAAGGGGGUGGACUGUAAAUCCACUGGCUAAGCCUUCGUAGGUUCGAGUCCUACUUCCUCCACCA